rnacentral:rRNA from 1 species
UACGGAGGUGGCAAGCGUUGCUCGGAAUCACUGGGCGUAAAGGGCGCGUAGGCGGGGAGGUAAGUCGGGUGUGAAAUCCCUCGGCCCAACCGAGGAACUGCGCCCGAGACUGCUUCUCUUGAGUCCCGGAGGGGGAAGAUGGAAUUCCCGGUGUAGCGGUGAAAUGCGCAGAUAUCAGGAGGAACACCGGUGGCGAAGGCGGGUUGCUGGGCUGACACUGACGCUGAGGCGCGAAAGCCAGGGGAGCAAACGGG